rnacentral:rRNA from 1 species
AAUUGAAAUAGAGGACAGUGGCGGACGGGUGAGUAACGCGUGAGGAACCUGCCUUUCAGUGGGGGACAACAGUUGGAAACGACUGCUAAUACCGCAUGACACUUUUGGGAGACAUCUCCUGGAAGUCAAAGCUUUAUGUGCUGAAAGAUGGCCUCGCGUCUGAUUAGCUAGUUGGUGAGGUAACGGCUCACCAAGGCGACGAUCAGUAGCCGGUCUGAGAGGAUGAACGGCCACAUUGGGACUGAGAUACGGCCCAGACUCC